rnacentral:rRNA from 1 species
AUGGCUCAGGAUGAACGCUAGCUACAGGCUUAACACAUGCAAGUCGAGGGGCAGCAUUAUCGAAGCUUGCUUGAUAGAUGGCGACCGGCGCACGGGUGAGUAACGCGUAUCCAACCUUCCCAUCACUCAGGGAUAGCCCGCCGAAAGGCGAAUUAAUACCUGAUGGUCUCCUUUGCGGACAUCUAACGAGGAGUAAAGAUUUAUUGGUGAUGGAUGGGGAUGCGUCUGAUUAGGUAGUAGGCGGGGUAACGGCCCACCUAGCCGACGAUCAGUAGGGGUUCUGAGAGGAAGGUCCCCCACAUUGGAACUGAGACACGGUCCAAACUCCUACGGGAGGCAGCAGUGAGGAAUAUUGGUCAAUGGACGGAAGUCUGAACCAGCCAAGUAGCGUGCCAGGAUGACGGCCCUAUGGGUUGUAAACUGCUUUUGUGCGGGAAUAAAGUAUGGGACGUGUCCCAUUUUGCAUGUACCGCACGAAUAAGGACCGGCUAAUUCCGUGCCAGCCGCCGC